rnacentral:rRNA from 1 species
GCAAAUUGACACCGUAACUUCGGGAGAAGGUGUGCCGCUGGCGGUUAGUGACUUCGCGUCACGAAGCUGUCGGUGGUCGCAGUGAAAUGGCGGUUGUGACUGUUUACUAAAAACACAGGACUCUGCGAAGUCGUAAGACGACGUAUAGGGUCUGAUGCCUGCCCGGUGCUGGAAGGUUAAGGGGAUAUGUCAGCGCAAGCGAAGCAUUGAACCGAAGCCCCAGUAAACGGCGGCCGUAACAAUAACGGUCCUAAGGUAGCGAAAUUCCUUGUCGGGUAAGUUCCGACCUGCACGAAGGGCAUAACAACAUCCGCACUGUCUCGACCAGGGACUCAGCGAAAUUACAUUGGGGGUGAAGAUGCCCUCUACCCGCGGAAAGACGGAAAGACCCCAUGAACCUUUACUGCAACUUGGCAGUGAUUUUCGGGUUGUUCUGCGUAGGAUAGGUGGGAGGCUUUGAAGCCGGGCUUCCGGGUUCGGCAGAGCCAACGUUGAAAUACCACCCUGAAUAAUCUGGAAAUCUAACCUGCGCCCAUGAUCUGGGCGAGGGACACUGCCUGGUGGGCAGUUUGACUGGGGCGGUCGCCUCCUAAAUUGUAACGGAGGCGUGCGACGGUUCCCUCAGGCUGAUUGGAAACCAGCCGUAGAGUGCAAACGCAUAAGGGAGCUUUACUGCGAGACUGACAAGUCGAGCAGUUGCGAAAGCAGGUGUUAGUGAUCCGGUGGUACCACAUGGAAGGGCCAUCGCUCAUCGGAUAAAAGGUACUCUGGGGAUAACAGGCUGAUCGCGCCUGAGAGUUCACAUCGGCGGCGCGGUUUGGCACCUCGAUGUCGGCUCAUCGCAUCCUGGGGCUGGAGCAGGUCCCAAGGGUUUGGCUGUUCGCCAAUUAAAGCGGUACGCGAGCUGGGUUUAAAACGUCGUGAGACAGUUUGGUCCCUAUCUUCCGUGGGCGCAGGACACUUGAGAGGAGCUAUCCAUAGUACGAGAGGACCUGGAUGGACGAACCUCUGGUGCUCCGGUUGUCACGCCAGUGGCAUAGCCGGGUAGCCAUGUUCGGAACAGAUAACCGCUGAAGGCAUAUAAGCGGGAAGCUGGCCUCAAGACUAGGUGUCCCUGACGCAAGUCACUAAAGGCCCCUCGAAGACUACGAGGUUGAUAGGCUCGGUGUGGAAGCGCUGCGAGGCGUGGAGCUAACGAGUACUAAUAGGCCGUGCGACUUGACCUC